UAACGCGUAUACAAUUUACCUUAUACAGAGGGAUAGCCUUUAGAAAUGAAGAUUAAUACCUCAUGGUAUUGAGGUGUGGCAUCACACUUUAAUUAAAGAUUUAUCGGUAUAAGAUGAGUAUGCGUCCUAUUAGCUAGAUGGUAGAGUAAUGGUUUACCAUGGCAACGAUAGGUAGGGGGUCCUGAGAGGGAGACCCCCCACACUGGUACUGAGACACGGACCAGACUCCUACGGGAGGCAGCAGUGAGGAAUAUUGGACAAUGGAGGCAACUCUGAUCCAGCCAUGCCGCGUGCAGGAAGACUGCCCUAUGGGUUGUAAACUGCUUUUAUAGAGGAAGAAACCCUCCCACGUGUGGGAGGCUGACGGUACUCUACGAAUAAGCACCGGCUAACUCCGUGCCAGCAGCCGCGGUAAUACGGAGGGUGCAAGCGUUAUCCGGAAUCAUUGGGUUUAAAGGGUCCGUAGGCGGGCAAAUAAGUCAGAGGUGAAAUCCCACAGCUCAACUGUGGAACUGCCUUUGAUACUGUUUGUCUUGAGUUUUAGUGAAGUAGAUAGAAUGUGUAGUGUAGCGGUGAAAUGCAUAGAUAUUACACAGAAUACCGAUUGCGAAGGCAGUCUACUAACUAAUAACUGACGCUAAUGGACGAAAGCGUGGGGGAGCGAACAGGAUUUAGAUACCCUGGUAGUCCCACGCCGUAAACGAUGGAUACUAGUUGUUGGGUUUAUACUCAGUGACUAAGCGAAAAGUGAUAAGUAUCCCACCUGGGGAGUACGUUCGCAAGAAUGAAACUCAAAGGAAUUGACGGGGGCCCGCACAAGCGGUGGAGCAUGUGGUUUAAUUCGAUGAUACGCGAGGAACCUUACCAGGGCUUAAAUGUAAGUUGCAUAGAGUAGAGAUAUUCUUUUCUUC
rnacentral:rRNA from 1 species